ensembl:lncRNA
GGCGCUGCGGGAGAGCGCGGCGGGCCCGGGGCGUGAGGGGAGCGCGGGGCGGGCACGGGGUGCGGACGGGUCGGGGUGUGCGGGGGUAGUACACGGCGUGCGGAGCGGCUCAGGCCAUGCGGGGGUGGCACAGGGCAGUGCGGGGACAGGGCACACCCGUCUCUGGCGGAGGUUGGUGCCGGUGCGGGGGAGCGGGGCACUGCCGAGCCCUGUGUGAGCGCCUGCUCUGUUCCGGGGCAGCACCGACACCCCGCGCACCGGGCUGGAAUGGCCUUUUCAACGCCGACCAUCCCGCCCUGCUGCUCUGGGACAGGCAGGAGUGACACCAGGCAGUCCCUCCUGUCACCUCCCGUGCGUGUGACAGCACCGGCCUCUCUCCCUGACUGCAGCCCGUGAGUCCCUGGGCUGGAGAAAGCUGAAAGUUUGGCCAUCCUGCAUCUUCUUCGAAGUACAAACAUAGCCAGUCCAGACUCAGAAUGAGCUGCAGCAACUGGAUAAAUCUACUGGCACCAUGAAGAAUUCAAGUGGUUAAUUUGGAUUAAAAGUCUCUCUGCAGGUGGAAUGCCUCCUGUCUCUCAAGUGGCUCAGCAGAUCAGCCAGGAGGAAAACCAACAGCAAAAUGGACCAAAUUUGUCAAAUCUGCUUCAUUCCUUACGCAGCAGGAACCCAGCUCUGCCCCAGCAGGUACAACCAGCAGGAUGGGAUAAGAACCAUGUGCUUGUGGUCCCAGCUCCAGUUCCUCACAACAACAGGAAAAUGAAAUUCUGCAGUGAAGAGCAGCACUGGGGAAAGAAAGUUUAUGAUCUCUGAAACCUCUGCCCAAACUCCAUGAGGCCCCACAGCACAAAUCACACCAUGAUUUAUCUUUUGGAAAAAAUGCAGUGAAUGGCAACAGAUUUUUUUCAAGAAGGAAGAUGAAAGAUGAUAACUGCCAAGAGAGUAAUGUGAAUUUGAUAUUUUAAACCAGAAAAUAAUAGGCAGCAUUUACAUGGCUAGGAUGUGAUCACUGGGGAUCUGGGAGUUUGGGGUCGCCUCUCCACUGUUGAUAAAUUUUAAACAGUACUCCUAAAGGGAUUCUAAUUAUUUUCUUUCUUUAGAAAUGUGCUUUUUAGAUAGAAUUGAGUAAAAACUUAAAAUAAUUGUAUGGUUUUAUUUUUGGGUUAAUAUGUCGAGAUGGGAAUAGAUGGAUCUGGAAUGCCAGUUCUACAAAGGCAAAUGUUUUAAUUACGAGCAUUGAAUUAACUGCAGAGCUUGUCAUUUGAGGGUGCUGCCCUGUUUGUGACUCCUGGUAACAUGAGCACAAUGCUCUAUUUCCAUGGUGUGGGCUCUUGGAACCUUUUAAAGUAACAGCAGCUGCUCUCUGCAGUGUCACAUGACACGUGGCUCUUCCAGUUCCACUUUAAUUCUGCCAUCAGCUGGGAGAUUUUUCAUCAUUCUCAGAUACUGUGCUACUAUUAUUAUUAUUUUUUUUAACUGUAGCUGAAUAGUAGUAAAUUAUUUCUUUACUUUGUGUUUUUUUUUUCUUUUACUGUAAUUUAAGCACACAGACUGGUCUCUCUUUGAUGUGAUUGCGAUGGAAAACCAAAUUACUUGCUAUGAAGCAGAAAUGCUGCCAAAACUGAAGGUAACUGGAAAGCUUAUGGUAGAGAUCUCCUGCUCCCCUUCAUCACCCAGACUUGAGCCAGUGAGGCUCCAACCAAACAGGUAUGUAGUGUUCAAAUGAUUGAUUUAUUUUUCAUUGAUAUUUUUUUAAAGUAACAGAUGAAAAAGAGUAAUAUUUGUGAGGGCUCAGAGGGUUCAUUCAGAAUUAUUUGUUUAUUGUUUUAUCUUUUGUUUCCAAACUGAUUACUGCUAAAGACUUUAUGCCUUUAAAGUGUUCUCCCUCAGUCUUCUGAGGGAAAGCAGAGUGCUUCUUACUGCUUAAUAGUUCUUUUCAUUUAUGAAAGAUCAGUUUUGAUCUUUCUGGCCACACUCAAGAGUUUAAGUCACUUGUGGUUUUGAUCAAACACUGAAAAUUACUUCUGGAGUAGAAUUUCCUAAUCAGAAUAAUUAAAUCUUCUCCUUAUAGUUAAUUUUCAGAUGUACUUGCAAAACACUUAAAGAUUUUUUUUG